AAUCAUUUUCCUGACCUUCAUUUGUUUUCCAAGUCUCUCCCUCAUGGACUCGCCGAGAAAGGUCGUCCUGCGCCUCUGCUGCUGAUCGUGAAAGUCUACAGCUGAUCCCACGCAGGGAUAGAUGACAUCUGUCAGAAAUCCCAUGCCAGAUGAAAUGUUGUCCGUCUCCAAACAUUCCCAACCAAGUUGUGGGUUCUCCCCUGCCAGUGCCAUUAGCCAGCAGUCCCGCAGCAGAAACUAUGGUUCAGUCGAGCAAAGAAGAUUGCAAAGGCAUGUCCAGUCGCAGUGGGAGAAGACGGAAGGUGAAAGUGUGGAGCGAUGAAGCCUUGUAUUUCACCUCGAUGGUUUGAAAAGAUGAUUGGAAGUUUACAGACAGAGGUCUACAGACAGGGCUCUUGAUACCUGGCAUGAAGAAAAUGGAACGUAAUUCUGGCUCUGGAAAGCAGCGCACACUUCUAGGCUGAAGGGUAUCUGGAAUCUGCAAGACAAUGCAGAAUUCUUAAGGUGUAGAUUUGACUUCCAUUCUAUCCCCCCACAUCAGUUUUAAAUUAUUAGGGUGAUCUUAGUAGGGUGAGGCCCCUUGUAUACCACAUUUGCUUCAAAGGAAAGUUGGAAACUUCUGUCCUGUCCUCAAAUGGUACCACCAGUCUUUUCAAGAUGAACUUCAGCCCACCUGCCAUAUAGCAGUUGGACCUUUUAUAAUCCCCCUCAUACAGAUGGCGAUGACCAAACCCUAAAGUGAAAUAAGAUGGUACAGCAAAGCUCAACAAGUCUGCACUGCUUUUGUUGAAUUUUCUAUAUUUAAAAAGGAACCAUUCUUGUCUUACAAGAUUUGUUGCAGCAACAGUGGCAGCCUUUGCUGUACUUUAUCUAUGAAAAUAUUUUUGUAUCUUUAUCCAAAAUAAAUUAUGAUGAUGAAA